rnacentral:snoRNA from 1 species
GAAAUCAUGUUUCACAGGAUCUAUUCUGUAGUAUACUUUUCUACUUAUUGUAGCAAGGCCAUUCACAUCAAGGCAGUGAAGAUUAGAUACGGAUUCGUUUCUGAUCGUAGAGAUGCAAUUCAGUCUCCUUUGUGAAGUUGAAUGUUUGAUGCCUGAUUUGGAGGGCUUUUUGCGCUCUUAUGGAGGAAAAGUGAUAUGAACCGU